rnacentral:lncRNA from 1 species
AUGAUAAAGGUAAGAACACAAGUAUUUUGUUCAUGGCUUGUUGUUAACGAAGUUACGUCCAAUCCACCCGCCUGAAUGAUUUCGCUUUCUCAAUAAGGACUUAAUUCAAUAAUCAAACUGAUUACAACAAACUCAAAGGCACACAAUCUAAGACUUCUUGAAUUUUUUUUACUAUACUGUAGUCUCUCAAGGAAAAUAACUCAAAGACUUACUGCCAAUGACUUAUUGAGAGUUCUAAAUAAACUUAGUCUCUUAAGGAAAUUAACAAAAGGUUAAGAUAACAGGUUUUGUGUUAUAAGAUGCUUCAAUAAAGAAGAUGCACAAGUUUAAAUAAAAUGUUACACAUAACAAAGAUAUUCAAGGAAAGUUGUUCUAAGUGUAUGAGUGUGAGGAACACUUUUUUUUUUAUAUUUUCUCUUUCACGUGUUCUCUUUGAGUAUAAGUGUUGAUAUCUGUUCAGUGCUUAUUUUUCUUUCAAUACUCAAAGACCUCUUUAAAUAGUAGCAAAUAGACUAGUUAGAGGGUGAAGUUGGAUUAUCCUCAAUGUAGAUGUUAUAUGAAGGUCACUUCAUAUGCAACAUUAGAGUGACGCCUACAACAGAGAGUUGGUAAGGAUCAUGGGACAUGAGAAGCUUCAUUGGUACAUAGUAGAUUAGUUUACAUAGAAAGUAUAUUUUCUUUUUGUACUUCUGUCACAUUAAUAAGUCAUUGGCCUUUUGAUACAAAUCUUCUAGUCAGAAGCUUCUAAUAUAAUUUGAUGAUGCUUGACUAGAGUUCAGAGUUUGCCUUCAGAACUUGGUGAGACUUCAGAGUCUUUGGAGAAUAGGGUUCUGAGACUUUUUAGAAUCUGGUAGUCAUAAUCUUUAUCAGAGUCUAUCUAGAUGGUUUAUGAACAUAAACACUGACUUUGUCAAAUCAGAGUGGACUCUAAACAUCAGAAUUAACUUUUUUGAAAACACGCUUUUAUCCUUUGGUUCAGAGUCUCGACGUCUUCAGAGUUAGAAUCUGUUUCCUACUUUCUGCACACUCAGGAAAAUAGUUAGAGUAAAAUAUUAUUCUCUACACUUUGUUAUCAUCAAAACUAGAGGAUAGUUAUAGAACCAAACUUGUUCCAAUAAUCUCCCACUUUUUGAUGAUGAAAAUUUUGAUGAACAAUUUUUACUUUGGAUAAUCAUAUUUAUAAAAAUUCAGAGAUAGAUUUGUAAGCUCCCCCUGAGUUUUAUAAUUAUCAAAUUUCAGAGUUUCUUCAGAGUGAGGUUUGUAAGCUCCCCCUGAGUAGUUACCAUGUUUUUCUCAGUUUCUUCAGAGUGAGGUUUGUAAGACCCCCCUGAGUUGAGACUUAGAAAAACAAUAUUGUUGAUCAACUUGAUUUUAACAAUGUUUGGGUUUUAUUAGGGUCACAAGAUAUAUCAAAAUCAUAUUCAUCUCCUCCUCCUUUGUCAUCAAUCAAAAAGAUAAAAACAAAAUAGCAUAACUGAAAGUAAAAUGUAGAGCAAAGAGUAAAAAACAAGAGAAAAGAAAAAAAAUCAUUGACGAACAUAAUAAUACAAAAGAAGAUAAAAAAACAAGAAGACAAUAACAAAAGAAAAUCAGGGAAAGGAGAAACUAGAGGGGAGAAAGUCAAACAUUGAAAGGUCCUAAGCUACUUCGAGCUUCUGACUCCAGCUGAGCUCCAGAGCCUCAGCUAACCUAGCCUCCUAUACAUUCUCAACAAUACCUUCUUGAAGGAAAAGUUCAAAAAUAGCUCUUCCAAAAAGAAUGAGAAGAUAUUCCUUCAUGAGAGGCGAUAAUCUUCUUCCUUAAGAAGUUUAAGAUUAUGAGGGGAAGGUUAACCCUUAGUCCCCAACAAGAUAAAGAAGAUAAGAUGCUUGUCAACAUAAGAUAAGAUAUUUACCUUGGCAAUAAGAGAGGAUAGACUUACCAAAUUGUUCUUGGUGGCAAGGAUAUUAUCUGGAAUGGCUUCAAGGAAUGGACUUGUCCUUAGAUACAUGUCUAUAUGAACCUCAUCCUCAUCGCACGUGAUUUAUUUAACAAUCAGAGUAGGAGUUAGAGUGAUGGGAAUUCCAAAAACAUUAGACUUAAUGCAUGAAGCAUCUUAUCUAAUAUGUAAGAGGGACACAUUUGUACAAAAUUCUCUAAUGAGAACAGGAUAGAUGGGUCCUUCAAGCAUGUUAAAUUAAUUCUCCCACUUUUGGGAAUGAACAUGACUUAGAAGAUCAAGACAAUGAUUCUUGAAUUUGUUGAAGUCAAUAAAUUUUUCAUAAGAAAUGGUAAGAGGGCUAAGCUACACUAUAAACUGAAGACAUUUUUUGAGAUUUGAGAGUAUGGAGGAAGAUGGAUAUUUUAGAAAGUGAUACUAGCACGUGCAAGAUGAGAUGAAAAAUAAAAGAGUGAAGAAGAAGUUUAAAUAGAAAAAGAAAGAAGGAGUUAAAACAUUUUAGGAGGGAGUAGGCAGAAGCCUAAACGAAAUAGACUCAAUAGGUAUCAAUGCUUGUUGCAGUAAUAGAAUUUGCACCAAGAAUCACAACAAGGCACGCUUGUCAUAAGCUAUUAUUACAAAACAUUGAAAAAGACCAAAAUAAGUCAUUUAAAAAGACAUAUAAGAAAGCAAAUUUGAAAAAGUAAAUAAUUUUUUUAAAAAUCACACGCAGCUUGACAAAGGGAGGUAAGUGAAGAGAUUUUCUCUUGAACCAAGAAAUAUCAUCCCAAAGGGUCAUGUCAAAUGUUUAGAUGACUUUAAAAUAGGAAAAUUGUCUUACUUUAGAGCCAUGCGAAAAUGCUUGAUUACACCAUUAAUAUUAAAAACUCAGAGUCCAAAAGACAGAAAAUUUCAAAAGGGUUUUAACUUUGGACCUUCUGACCAAGAGAACCUCCUAACUUCAAAGGGAUAACUAGUUCAGAGCCAAUAUAUCUCAGAGCCAUAUUUUACUAUUCAGAGUCUACACACAAAUUGAAAAGAUUUUAUUUUAUUAUGGACAAAGUUCCAUUUUCAUAUUUUUUAGAAUAAAAACAAAUCUAUCUUCAACAAGGGAUUUUGUAAAGAUGUCAUCUCAUUGGUGGUCUGUGUCUAUAGAUUUUAAAUUAAUUACACCCUUAUGAACAUAAUCUCUUAUAAAAUGAUGUUUGAUUUUAAUGUAUUUAGCUAUGGAGUGAAAAAUAGGAUUCUUUGAUAAGAAAAUUGUAGAAGUAUUAUUACAAAGAAUAUGAAUGUUACUCUCAUAUAAAUGAUAAUAUUCUAUCUGGAUUUUUAUCUAGAGAAUCUGAGUGCUGCAACCAGAUGCUGCAAUGUAUUCAACCUUUGUUGUUGAUUGCCUCUUGUUAGACUAAGAAAUGAGAUUAUCACCUAGAAACUAGCAACUUCCACUAGCGCUCUUCCUUUCUAGUCCAUCUCUAGCAUAAUCAACAUUACAAUAACCUAAUAAUACGUAAUCAUUGGAUUUUCUAUAAAACAAACCAAGAUUAAUAGUACCUUUCAGAUAUCUAAAAAUCCUUUUAAUAACGGUCAAAUGGGAUUCUUUAGGAUCUUAUUGGAAUCUAACACAAAGACACACGCUAAAUAAAAUAUCAGGUCUAGAAGCAGUCAAGUAUAAGAGAUAUCCAAUCAUACCUCUAUAUACCUUUUGCUCUACCUGUUUGCUUUCAUCUUUCUCCAUAAUACAUGUUAGAUGCAUUAGAGUCUUGGUUGGUUUACAUUCUUACAAGUUAAACUUCUUCAGAAGUUUUUUGUAUAUUUACUUUGAUGGAUAUAUGUUCUUUCUGAAUUUUGAUUGGUAUGAAUCCCCAACAAGAACUUUAAUUAUCCCAUCAGACUCAAAUUCUACAUGCAUAGACUUAGAGAAUUCCUUGCAAAGAGUUGCAUCAACAUAAAUUUGCACAACUAAGAUAUCAUUUUUGAAUAUUUUACAAAACAAAGUUGUAUCUACUUUUUAUCUUGUGAAAUCAAUUUUAAAAAGAAAAUUUCUUAGUCUUUCAUACCAUGCUCUAGGAGCUUGUUUCAGACCAUACAAAGAUUUCUUGAGUUCGUAAACAAAAUAUGGAUUUUUUAUUUAUUUUCAAAACCAGGGGGUUGAUGUACAUAAACUUCUUCAGUAAUGUAGCCAUUCAAAAUUUCACUUUUAAAAUCCAUCUGAUAAAGAAUGAUGUUAUGAUUUAUAUAAAAGGAAAUUAAGAGAAGAAUAAACUAUAACCUGGCCACUGGCGCAAAGGUUUCAGUAUAGUCAAUUCCCUCUUGUUAAUUAUAACCUUGUGAAACCAGUCUGGAUUUGUUUCUUACCACUUCUCAUUGCUCAUUCGACUUGUUUCUGAAGACCCAUUUGGUUCCUAUAACAUGGAUUCCCUUGGGACUAGGCACAAGAUCCCAUACAUCUUUUUUGGAGAAUUGUUUUAGCUUUUCUUGCAUAGCCAAAAUCCAAUUUGUGUCCAGAAGUGUUUCGUCAAUGAAGGUAGGUUCUAUUAAAGACACCAAUCCUAGAAGUAUUUAUUCAGAAGGUUUAAAUGAAGAACUGGUUCUGAUGGGUUCUAAUUUAUCACCUAAAAUCAAUUCCUUAGGAUGUGAAGAACUUUGUCUUGGUUUCCUUAGAGGUGCUUAAGAGGCAGCAAAUUUUGAUUCAGGUUGAGCACCUUUGAGUUAAGAGUCUUCAGAGUCUUUAACCCCAGAUUUCUUACCUUCAGAAUCUGAGUAGCUAAUCUCCAAAUCUAUAAACUUUUCAACUAGCUUUGACUUGUCAAAGUCAAGCUUAUCAUCAAACUUUAAAUGAAUUGAUUCCUCAAUAAUUCUUGUUUCAGUGUUAUAUACUUUGUAGCCUUUUGAGAGUUCAGAGUAUCCUAACAUGAUAUAUUUUUUUGCUUUGGAAUCAAACUUGUUUAAGUUCUCUUUAAUGUUCGGAGUAAAACAAGAACAUCCAAAAGGAUGAAAAUAUGAAAUGUUGGGUUUUUUGUUUUUCCACAAUUCAUAAGGAGUCUUACCCAUAAUCAGCCUUAUAAAGAACAUGUUAUAAAUGUAACAUGACGUUUUAACUGCUUCUUUCCAGAAGUACUUUGCAACAUAUGUUUCAUUGAUCAUGGUUCUAGACGCUUCUUGUAAAGUUCUAUUUUUUCUCUCUACAACUCCAUUCUGUUGAGAAGUUCUAGAGCAAGAGAAAUCAUGUGAAAUUUCAUUGUCAUACUCCAAAUUUUGACCACUAGGUUUCAUCUGACUAAGUCCUUUGAGUCUAUACCCUGUACCAGUGUAGGUCGACUGCAUUUAAGUCCUUGAUCAAUUUCAUUUCAUCUGACUCAGUGCAAUGUCAUAUGAGACAUAACUUUUCAUCUGAGCCCAUCAUAUGUGUAAGUCAAAUGGUCAACUCCAAUGAUCCAAAAGUCAAAGGAGGACCAUUUUGAUUUUUUAUCCCUUUUCAUUUAAUCUAGCUCAUUUUUAUUUAUUUGAAUUUCAUUUUAUACUUUUAGGAUUAUUAGCAUAAGUACUAUUAUUUUUACUUUUAUAGUUUUUAUCAUUCACUAAUACCAUUAUUUAUUUUAAAUUUAGUUAUUAUCUUUACCAUUAUUUUACUAUUUUAUUAUAGUUAUUAUUAAUACUUUUAUUUUUAUUUUAGCUUUAGAUUUAUUUAGUUAUUAUUAUUUUUUAGUGGCUAUUGCUAUUAAUAUAAUUUCUUUUUAGUUGCAUUACAAUUACUAUUAUGUCAUUAUUAUUAGUUUAUUAGUUUAGCAUUAGUAAUAUUAUUAGUUCCUUUUAAUUUCGUUAUUGUUAUGUCAAUAUCAUUUUUUUCUUUUUAUUUUAUUUUGAGUCCAAGUCUGAGUGAAGGUCAACAAGUCAACACAGUCAGUAAAAUCUAAAAACAAAUAAAACGCAUGAGUGGGGGAUCAUAAUGGAUAAAACACAAAGUACCCAAACAACAAAAUCUCUCUUUUUCAUUAUCAUUGAUCAAUUACAGAUUGAGCUUGCCAAAUAUACAAAUCUAAUUCAAAAUCUAAUCAAGUCUUUCCUAAAACAGAACAAAUCUAAUCAAACAUAGACCUAAUUUUACACUAUUAAAGAAAAGCUAAAAUUAGAAAGAACAAUUAGUCACGUUUUACAAACUUAGAGCCCUAAAGUUGUUGCUCUUCACACUGAAGAACAACAAUGCUAAACCCUAAUUCUAAAGCCUCAACAUCCAUCCUAGCAAGUAAAGACCAUGCAGCAAAAAAAGAAACAACAAAGAAAGGGAAUGCAUUAGAGAGGAAGCCAAGAAUCAAAGGAGAAAAAGAAUAAAAAAUAAAGUGUUACCUUUUUUUCACUGGGAGGACUCACGCUCCCGUCGGUUGGUGCUUCUUUUUGGAUUUUGUGCAAAUUCGGUGCUUCUUUUCUCUUUGAUACCAUGUUUGCUUGAUUUUUGUUUUAGUUAGGUUUUUUGUGGUUCAAUUAGUAUUUUUGUGUUUGUCAUGAUUGGAUGCAUGCUAGGGUUUCAUUUUUUUUGUUUUGGUGUGAUUUAGGUUUGAGUUUUGGUUCGAUAAAGGCUAAAUAGAUGAGGGUUUUAGUUUUUAGGGUUUGGAAGAUUUGGAUUGAGUUUAUGUUUUGAUGGUUGAUUUAGGUUUAGGAGGUUCAUAUUUAUUGAUUGGUGUUUGAUUUGUGCGAUUUAGGUAGGUCUAAUGUUAUUUAUAGGUUGAGUUAGCUUAGGGUUGAGGUUGAAGAUGAAUGUUCAUAAGGGUGAUGAACAUUUAUGGUGGCUAGGGUUCAUGGGGGUUUAGGUUAGGGUUCAUGUGGUUAGGUUUAAGGUUCGUGGCUAGGGUUCAAGAGAUUUUUAGGGUUCUUAUUUUAUUAGGGUUAAGGUUCUUCAUGUUCAUCAGUAACAUGAAAAAUAAGGUGGCUAAUGGGUUUUAAAGGUGGCCGGAAGAGGGUUCAAGGGCGGUCGAAGAAGGUAAAUGAUGGAUAAAAAAAAGAGAUGGGAGAGUGAGAUGGAGAGAAGAGAGAGAUGGGGAAUAGUAGAGAGAGAAAGAGGUGUUAGAAAUGACUCAUUUCUGAAGAGAGCACACGUAUAUACAUCUCCCUUGCCCCCUUUGAUCGUAAACACGUGGCUCUCUCUGGUCCAUGUGAUGGUCAGACUUUGACCCUUCUAGUGUAUGUGUUCCCACUAUAGACCUGUGGUUGACUACACUAGUCUUCCAUCCUACAUGCUUUCCCUAUAGCUUGAUCCAGUGGCCAUGAUCCCAUUAUUGUUGACUACUCAAUCAACACAUCCAACGUCCCAAAAUGAGAGUCAACCAUUGACUCUCUUAGGUUGACUCAGGCUGCUCCCUAAGCCUCCGGGCUAUUGGGCCUUUGUCCAUGCUUUGAAUACACUCUAUUUACUAGCUUGGUAUACAAAUACACCCCAUUAGUUUUUAAUUUAAAUUAACUUUUGUUAGUUAAUUUAAUUGUUUUUAAUUUAGUUAUUUAUUAAUUUUAGCUCUUAAUUUAAUUUUCAACUUAGGUAUUUAAUUUAGUGGUUUUGUUUUUAGUUAAUUUUUAACUUGUAUUUUUAAUUUAGUCAUUUUAAUUAAUUUAUUUAAAUUUUCAAUUUAGUUUGUAUUUAUUGUUUGGCGCACGUCGCAUUUUCAAUUUAAUUGAUUGUUUGGCGCACGUCGCAUCGAUAAAUUAUUCUAAUUCAAAACAUUUAAAAUCAACACAAUACAUCAAAUGUAAUUUGUGCCCUUGUGCACUUAAUUCAUCUUUUUUUUUAUUAAAAGGAUAUGUUAAGUUAUUUCGACGCAAAAUACAAACAAGCGUUUCCGCCUCCAUUGUGCAAGCAUAUAAGCCAAUGUUUAAACGCAAAAAAUGAUCUAAACCCUAUUCUCUAAAAUCAACCAACAAACACUUAUUUUUUACCGAACUACGAUGCUCUGAUUUUCUCAUUGCACAGUGAGAAUACGUAGGCACGAGGUUUUGAAACCUUGACGAGCACACUUAAUAAAAAACUAUUUUUUUUCCUUUUUUUGUAAAUAUUUUAAUAAAUAAAUAAUUGCAAACAUUAUCUUAACAAACCCUUAACCCUAAAACUAUAUGAGGUUCCAAUUGAGUACAACAAAUGUGAGAAGUGCUAAUAUCUUCCCCUCGCAUAACUGUCUCCAAAAUCCAGGGACGAAGCGAGGUAUAUCAGUAUGGGGGCAUGUGCCCCCACUAUAUUUUUUUAAAAACAAACUUUAAUACUAUAUAUAUAUAUAUAUAUCAAAACAAUAUAUUUAACCAAAAUUAUAUAUAUUAAAUUAAUUCAAUAAUAUUAUUAUAAAGAUAUUAUUAAAAAUUAGGUAAAAAUAAUAAAAUAUAUAAAUAUUCUCCAAAAAUUAAUGUGAGUUUUUUAUUUUCAAUAAUUAAAUCAAAAUGUGUCAGAUUAAAUAUAUUUGAAUUUUUUUUUAAUAAUUUCAAAAUAGUUUUUCUCUAAACCUUAAAACAAAUUGAUUUAUGAGAUUUUAUAUUAAUAUUAUGAUCUCAUAAAAAAUGCAUAAAAAAAUAUUUUUAUUGAUAAUAAAAUUUAGAAAAUUACAAAAUUAAAAAAAUUAUUAAAUUUUUUUUUGAGAUAAAUUUUAUUAAAAAAUAAAUAUAACAUAUAUUUAUGAUUUAAAAAUAAAUAAAAACAAACUUAUAUAUUAAUAUAUUGCCCCCACAGUUCAAAAUUUCUGACUCCGUCCCUGCCAGAAUCCAUAUUAUGCUGUGAUGACCAUUUUAUCCUUUUUUCCUUAGGGUUUCAUCGUUAUUCUCCCAUUUCCUUAUGAAUAAAUAAAAUUUGGUGACAACUAUAUUAGUCAUCUAUGAGCCUGGGAUACGCUCACGAGGUCGUAUUUUUUGAGAUGCGACGGCUGACGACUCUGUUGGGGAUAUUCUCCCUAAAGAGAGUCAAGCCUUUCUUUAGUUCUAGGAUUGUUUGGUUUAUUUUAUUUAAUUUAUUUAUUUUUGUUUAUGUUUUAUUUAUUUCAUUUAUUUUCUUUCUUUCUUUAUUAUUCUAUAUAUUAUUUUAACAUUUGUAGGUUUUAAUUUCUAAUUUGAGAAUAAGCUAUACACCCGAGCUCGAGAAGAAACAUAAGAUUAAGUAAGGGCUUUGUCAUGUUUUGGCCCCUGAGAUGCACAUCUCACGGGUUUUUUAACGACAACUCCGUCUUGAGUAGAUCAUUUCAAAGAUUUCAUCACGAGUUGGUUAGCUCAUCUUUGUCACGAAGCUCUAAAUUUGGUCCAUGACUCUAGGGACCUCUUCUAGAACCCGAACAUUAAUACUUCAUUUCUACAAAGGCUCUGCCUAAGGGAAACCCUUUGAGAUUUUAUCAUGGGAGGGCUAGGCCCUAUCAUGAUGAAAUUUCCUCUGCAUUCCAUUACAUUGGGUUUGUUCAAUAAAACCCUAUAACAUACCCUGUGAGGGGUUGGGUAGAAAAACCUAGGACCUUUUUUAGGAGGCCUCAGUUAGGUUGUUCAAUUAUCAUCCCGUCCUACAUAAAAAUUGCAUAACAUAUCAUAUAUUUGCAUUAAAAAUUGGAUAUUUUAGCAUUAUAAUCCUUAUUUUUAGGGAAUUUCAAAGUUUGUUUAAACAUUCGCGAGAGAUGAAUUCAGACAAGAGGAAGACCUGUCAGAUGAAGGCAUAAUUAACAGACAUGCAAAGUCUGAAGAUUCCCAUUGGCAAGCCACUUGGUGUUACCAUGUUGAAAGAGUUCAAGGUUCACCUGGAUGUAGCCAUCAGGGCCCAACUCUAGUUUGUUUCUUUUAAUGCUUUUAGAUUUUGUACUUUUUCCCUUUAAUGAAUGAACAAAAGUCUUUGUUAUUUGGGUCAAUUGUGUGAUCUAGUCUCUCUACUAUUUUACCGAACUUUGGAAUUCCCUAUAAAUGAAAAUGCAAAUUUUUAGCAUACAUAUGCAUAUAGCAUACAUGCACCCACAUGCAUUUACAUCCCUUGCAUAUAAAAAAUUCAUUUUCCCAUCUUCCACCUCAGACCUGUUGAGCAAAGCAAGCUGACUUCCCAACCUCCGUUGAUAAGAGCUCGAUACAAGAAGGCAAUGAAGCAGAUAAAGCAGAACCAAGCUGCCCUCAAAGAUGACAUUGACUCGAUGAAGGGAAACAUUGACGAGGUGAAAGGAAGUGUGGAGAAAGUGUGAAUAAUAUGUUAGUAAGGCAAGAAGAAGGUCUUAAAGCCUCUCUCAGAGAAACUGCUCACGCCAAGGCUAUUGUCACCUAUGUGGAUCCUAACUCCCACUAGGGUUCAUUCCCAGUUACAAGCAUACUGAGGCCAGCGUGACUCAACCAGAAACAAACUUUCUUCCUCUUGAAGGGCUUAUUCCACUACCUGCAAAGAAUGGUGCACCUCACCCUCUACAGAUACCAAUUGUUAAUCCCCAAGCCAAUGGCAAUUUUAUGGACUUGGGUUCGCAAUAUGGAGAUAAGGAUAUGGGGAACAUAACUCAUGCGCCAAAGCUAGGGGAACAACCUAGGGGAAUUGCUGAAGAAUAUAAGGUGAAUGACAAGUAUAAAGUACUUGAAGAAGGUUUAAGGGUUGUAGUAGGUUUCAAUGUAUUCAUUGUCGACGCUUUCAACAUGUGUUUAGUUCCAGAUGUGGUUAUACCUCCAAAAUUCAAAGUACAUGACUUUGAAAAGUACAAAAGCCUCAACUAUCCGAGGAACUACCUGAGGAUGUUAUGUAUAAAGAUGGCUACUUAUGCCUAUGAUGAGAAACUAAUGAUCCAUUGUUUCCAAGAUAGCCUAAGUGGGGCAUCCUUGGACUGAUACAUGCAACUAGAGAAGACUCACAUCUGAAUAUGGGAAGACUUAUCUAAUGAUUUCUUGAGACAAUAUAAAUAUGAUUUGGAUAUGGCUCCUAAUUGCAUGAAGUUGUAGAACCUUGCAGAGAAAAAUUAUGAGUCUUUCAAGGAGUAUGCACGAAGAUGGAGGGAGAUGGCUGCUCAUGUACAACCCCACUCCUGGAAAGAGAGAUAGUGGAUAUAUUCAUGGGUACCCUACAAAGUCAAUACUAUGAAAGAAUGCUAGGGAGUGUCUCGUCUAGGUUCUUCGACAUGGUAAUCAUUGGAGAACAAAUUGAGGACGACUUGAAAAUUGGUAAGAUACGAGGGGUAUCCAAUGGUCAGACUGGUACUGUCGCAUCACGAAAAAUACUUGAGUGCAUCGCACGCUCGAAGAUACAAAAGAGUCACCACCGAACUUCAUUUAUUCCUGAAGGAAAGGGAAAAUAUCAAUAAAAUCCAAGGAUAGUAGAAAAAGGAUAAGGAAGUCGAUUAUGCAAGGGGAAUGUAUUAGCACCAUUCACAUCUGUUGUACUCAACGGAACCAUUUAGGUUAUUCUUUGUUUGAAUGAGUGUUACUAUCUAAAGGUUAUUUGUAAUUAGGAAAAAAUAAGUUUAUUAAUUAAUGUGCUUUCUAAGGAUUCGGGCCCUCGUGCCUACGUAUCCUCAUAGUGCAAUGAGGAAAUCAGAGCUCCGCAGUUCAUGGAACUAAGGGUAGGAACUGAAAAGUAAACUGAUAUAAAUGGUGUUUAAAUCGAAAGAGCAAUAGAAAUGAUAAUAUUGGUGUUUAAACCAAGCAGGAAAUAAAGUGAGACGGUGUUUAAAACAUGGGAAUGAUGUUUAAAUCGAAGAAGGUAGAAGUAGGAAUAAAGGUGAUAGAAGUGGUGUUUGAACCGAAGGAGAUAAAAGUGGUGUUUAAACUAGACAGGAGUAAAAGUGAUGUUUAAACUAAAGAAGGAAUAAAAAUUGGUGUUUAAAACAAAUAGGAAAAGAAAGUCAAAUGGUGUUUAAACCAAGGGAAUGGUGUUUAAACUAAAUGAGUCAUAAAAGUGGUGUUUAAACCAAAGGAGUCGUAAAAGUGGUGUUUAAAUUGAGAGAUUAAUAAAAGUGGUAUUUAAACAAAAAAGUGGUGUUUAAACCAAAGGAGAUGUAGGAUUUUUCCUGGAUCCGGAGGAUCAAGACCUACAAGAAAAUGGGUGUCAUAAAAGUGGUGUUGAAAUCAAAAAGUAUAAGAGUGGUGUUUAAACUAAGGGAGUGGUGUUUAAAUCGAGAGAAUGAUGUUUAAACCAAGAACAUAAGAGCGGUGUUCAAACCGAGAGAAUGAUGUUUAAACCAAGAACAUAAAAGUGGUGUUUAAACCAAAGAAAGCGGUGUUUGAACCAAAAUAAGUAAGAGCGAUGUUUAAACCAAAAGAAAAUAAUGAGCGGUGUUUAAACUAGAGAGUAUGGUGAAGAGAUGAGUGUUGUUGAUGUUGAUUGUUGAAGUGUUGGAGAUGUUGUCUGUGGAUAAGAAGACUUGGCAUUUAUUCAAUUUGAAUUGCACUAAAGUCUAUAAAUGAAGGUGAAUACUUUGAACAACCAUGUCAGGCAUCCCGUAUCUAAAUACAUUCAGAAUGAGGAUAUGAGUACUCCUCUCAUUCCUUCUCCACUACUUAAGGCUUGUGGUGUAUAAUUUGCAUCAUAACUGACAAGUGUUAAAGAAGAAUAUUUUUGUUGUGCUUGAUAUCUAGAAUUUUCAACCUUGAGGCCUUGCUUGAUCUCUUGAACUCUUGAUUGUGAAGUGUUGUUUAUGGGAGGAGAAGACUUGACAGUUGGUUGAUUUGAAUUACACUAAAGUCUAUAAAUGGAGGUGAAUACUUUGAACAACUGGGUCAGACAUCCCAUAUCCAAAGAUAUUCAGAAUUAGGAUAGGAACAAUCCCUCCUAUCCAUUCUCCACUACUUACGGCUCGUGGCGCACAAUUUGAAUCGUAACUGACAAGUGUUGAAGAGUCUUUUUGUUGUGCUUGACGUUCACAGUCUUCAUAGUCUUGUAUGAUGUCCUGAGCUUGUGUUUGACUUGAGUGUGAAGUCUUGAGAGGUCUAAAGCAAUUUCAGUAUAGAGGAUCAAUCCUAUCAAGUCACCAAGAGGCUUUUGAUUACUUGACUGGACAUGGAGAUCAGACAAGUAAAUGAACUAUUUGAUCAAAGGCAACUUUGAUCAACCAGUCAAUCAGGAAUAACAUCAGAAUAUGAAUCAAGCAUUUAGAUUUUAAUCCCCAAAACCUAAGGGAAUCAAAAUGUUAUCAAGCAUAUUAAUUAAGACUAAUCUUUAAUCAAUAUGAACAUGGCAUGCUAUUUUCUAAAAUUUAAAUUGCAAUUUAUCCUAAAAAGUAAGGAUUAUUUCUAACUAAUGGUGUAUUGUUAUUUUUGUCAUUUUUAAAGCAUGGAUUAAAAUCUAAAAUCUAAGUAUAUUAUUUUGAAGGUAUUUUGAUGUACAAAAAUAAACUGAAAUAAAAGAAUAAGAAAAAAAUAUUAAGAACCAAACAACAUAAAAAAAUAUAACAAAGAGGCGCAGGGGUGAUUGUUCAUGAGUGGGGUGCAACAAGCAGCUGAUGGGCUUGGGACAGCAAGCCCAAAAUGCUUCAUGUCCAUAAUUCAGGAAGGGGUGCACGUGAGUAAACCAGGGUGUAUCAGUAAUCUGCUUGGGCCUAGGGGACUUCAGAGCCCAAACGAAAAAUCCAAGGGAGGGGGAAAUGAAAUUCAGAAGAUCAUUUCAAAUUCAUUUGCGCAAACCACUCUUAACUUCUUCACAUAAAAGCCCUCACCUGAACCCUUUCUUUGUGCGCCGAAAAUCGCCUCCGACGGAGGCGGAGGUCAAACCAGACCCAAACAUAUAUCAAACUAACCACCGUCUCUCCCUCUUUCAUAACCCCAAACUACCUUUCCCGAAUUCCUGACUUAGAGUUCAAAUCGAGUGAAAAAACAUAUGAACCCUAAAGAAAAAAAAUAAAAAAUAAAACCUUGUAGAAAUGGAAUCAAAGCCUAAAGCAUUAGGAAUUUAAUUACUUGAGCCAAAUUCUACAUGAUGGCAACUGUAAUGGCAUGAAAUGGAUGAAGAAGAAGUGUAUCUUACCUACGAGGCGAAGAUGAAGAUGAAACAGGAAAUCUUCAGGUAAUCUUCAAUAUCAUAACUCCUUCACGCUUAAAAUAUUUCUUCUUCUUCUUCAAUUCUUCUUUAGCUUGUAGGUGUGAUUUCGAUGUCGCUCAGUGUUGUUGUUGAAGUUUGAGUGUGAGAGAGAGAUUUACAGAGACAAUGUGAUUCGAUUGAGAGUGAGAGAAGGAGUUUUUUUAUGUGAGAAUGAGGGAAUGAUUUUGAUUUUGUGAUUGUGUAAUGAUUCCAGAUCCUCCUCAAUGAUUGAAGAGGGUGAUGAUUUAUAGAGUUUGGUGUGUAACAACUUAGGGCACACCUUGGGCAAUUAUGUUAGUGAAGUUAGGGUAGGGUUAACUCCUAGUGAAUUUGAGAGGAAAAAUAGUUAGAGGUUAUGACACUGUCACACUUUUGUUAAGACUGUUAAGAUUAAUUGAGUUAGUGGAAUGUAGAGUUAGUACCUUGUUAAAACUGUUAGGUGAAAUGAAGUUAGUUGCUUAACAAAAGUUAGAAACCUGCUAGUUAGUUAUGAGGUUAGUGAGUUGGAUUUGGAGUUAAAUGUUGUGGUUGUUAGAAAUAAAAAGGGAAAAUGUUAGUGUAGUGUGAAAUUAGAGAAUUAUAUUAGUGAAAGUUAUGUUGCUAUGAUUUAUUCGAUGCUAACCUGAUAAAAUCGGUUAGACUAGCUGAAGUUAGUGUUAAGGAAAUGAGAUUAAACUAGUUAAAAUUGAAUUUACAAGCUGAAUUGUUAGCUAUAUUUAGUUGACAGUUAGAUUUCGAAUGAAUUGGAAUAAAAUAGUUAGUGACGGAAGCUAGUUACCUACAAUGAGUGUUGAAUUGUUAUAUUGACACUGGAUGAUUUGAAUGAAUGUGGAUUAUGGUUAGGAUUUGUUAGUUGAGUUUGAAUAAGUUAGGAUUAUUAUGAUGUUUGGAACUUAUUUGUAUAGAAAGAGUAAGUUGGAAAUGGAUUGAAAGGUGAUGUUAUGGUUUCUCGUUAAUGUCCUGUUUGUUUGCUAAAGUUGAAAAUGUGAGUUAAAGUGAGUUGGAAUAGUUAGUAUUAUUAGAGGUUAAUAGAAAGAACUUAGGUUAUUGGUGUUUGUCAUGCUUGAAACAAGUUGGUGCUAUAGUUCAAGUAGUGUGUUCAUCACUAGGCUGUUAGUUUAUGUUAUAGUUAUAGGUUAGUAAUUAAGGUGAUAGUUAGAAGAUUUUGAAUUUCAAUUAGGACGAAAUUGCUAAAACAAGUUAUGAGGUUCAGUAUUAACUAAUGUGUGAUGUUAAGACUUGGAGCUAAAAUUGGAUGAAGUUGGUAUAAACUUGGUUAAAAAUGUUAGUAGAACUAGUUAAGGUUAGUUUCAAAGCAAUGAUGGAACUGUUACUAGGAGGUCGAUUAAUUAUGACUUUUUGUUAUUGGUGUUAUGACCUUGUGAAUGUUGACUUCUAACUAGUUUAUAUGGUUGAAUAUCAAUUAGGUUGGUGUUACUUGUUGUUACUAAAUGAUUGAAUUAUGACAAAAAAACUGUUAGGAUUACAUUAAGGUGGUUAGUGAGUUUUGAGAAAAAUCCACAAGUUUAAAAUUGAACCAAAAUUGAUUUUGAAAAAGUUUAUAGCGCGAAAGCAAGUUUCAAAAUUUUCUUGGAUAAAAAAUCGUCUAACCGAACCUACUAUCGAAAAUCUCGGAUAUGUGUAAAGGUGUCAAUGCAAUGAUAAUAAUCCACAAGUCAAUCAACAACAAUUAAACAUAACUAGUUGAAUACAAUAUAAUAGGAAAAGUUUAUCUCCAAUGAACAAAACACACAACAAAUUAAGUCAAGCAAUUUUUCGAACACUUAGUGUGCGAUCAACAAUGUUUGGAAUUUUAUGUAAAGUUUGUUAUUCUUAGAAAUCCAAUCACAACCAAAUGGUUUAUGAUCUACACAAUAACACAAAUUUCAAAACGCGUUCAAGAUUAUGAUCCAAACAAUAUUGAUCAAAUGAUCAAUGCAAUUGAGAAUUUCCAAACCACAAAAUAAAAGAGAUAUGUAUAGAAAGAGAGUACACAAGGAUUUGUUUAGGCAGUUUCCCAAUCAACAUCGCUAUGGGUACGUCUUCCCUUAAUUCGAAUUCGAAUUGAGAUAUUAUAAUAAAUCUUACUUUGCAAAAUAUGUGUAUACAAGAGAUGAAGAAAUCGAACUCUACAAAUCCUAAGUUUGAUGUUGACUCUACCACCUCCAAAACCCUUGAUAAAAGAUUGAUCAAGUAACCAACAAUGCCGCUUCAAUUCACCUUUUCUUGUUACUUCCUUGCAAGGCACUCCUUGUCCUAAGGCUUUCACCCGUUUGAAUUAAUCCCAAGCGCACAUUUGUUGAAACCCAAGAUUUUCCAACACGAUCUACCGUCUCAUGCCACUCCCUUGCAAGGUACCCAUUGUCCCAAGGAUUUCACUUGAUCGGAUCCGAAUUGCAUAAUCUUGUCAAAAACCUUCAAACCAUAAGAGAUCUUGAUGGAAAACCCUAACUCGGUUUUCUGAUACGAAUCCCUCAAAGUUCUCAACCCAAUAUUCUAGGUACAAUAAACCUAAUUGGACGUUAUCAACGCUAAUCUACAUGACACCCAAUCAAAAAAUGAUUAUGUGUAGUGUGAUUGUGUGUAUGCAUAGAUGGAGUUGAAGAUGAUGACAAUGCUUUGAAAUCUUGGAUUCAUGUUGGUUUUACUCACUCUAGAAACCUUACUAGAGAAAGAUGCAUGUAUGUAGUAUUUAUAUGCAUGAGUGAUUGAAGGAAAAAAGGAAUGCAAAGAACUUGGAGAAAAUAUAAAUUUUUGAAAAACAUUCAUCGCAUAGGUCGACCUAUGAAAGUUAUGUGUCGACCUAUUCGAUGCAUAAGUCGACGUGUUUAAGGUCAUGUGUCGACCUAUGACUAUCAUAAGUACCAUAGGUCGACACAUGAAAUAUAGGCUAUAUGCUUUAAUACUGCAACACAGGUAUCGACCUAUGGAAUGCAUGUGUCGACCUAUAGUCAAGAAAAUUUAUCUAUAGGUCGACCUAUAGUUGUAUGUGUCAACCUGUAGGUCGACCCGUAGACGUAUGUGUCGACCUGUGCUGACAUUUUUCAUAAAAAUUAAAAUUUUAUGCAUGAGAUCUUUUCCAAGUUGUUUCCAACUUCUUAUAUGCUUCCCAAUGCUAUGGUGCACAAAAAUAAUAAGAGGAUACCUUCCAAUAUAAAUUAACGCUAAAGUAUCCUAGUUUUGACAUCAUAUAAAACACAUCUAACAGAAGUUGCACUCACACUAUAGGGAUUUAGGGUUAGGAUUAGUAGUUGAGUUUGGUCAACUGGUUGACCAAAAAGUCAAUAGUUGACCAAAGUCAACUGUAGGUCGAACUUAGGUAUUUUUUGUGUAAUUUUAUAUAGACUUGAAAUGGAUGUUUGAAAUGUAAACUUGAUGAUUUAUAAUGAAAACAUUGAUCUUACAUGGUAUAUGUAACUUGUUACUUGAGAAAGCAACCUUUUCCUCCCAUUUUGAAUCUUGAAUGAAUUUGAACUAUUGAAUAAAGAUGAACUUGAAUGAAGCUUGAUCUUGUAUGAAUGCCAUGUCAUGAACCAAACAAUAAACAUUAGUAAGGAAGACAAGACAUGUGGAAGACAAGACAUGCGCAAAUGCCACGGUAUGCAAAGUUCAUGAAGGAUAUUCUCACAAAGAAAAGGAGACAUGUGGAAGACAAGACAAUCUUGCUUGAUGCAUGUUGUAGUGCCAUAAUCCAAAAAACUCUCCCAAGGAAGGAAUCCGAUCCGGGCCGAGUCGUUUUACUGGUAACCAUUGGAGGCACCUACAUUGGUAAUGGUUUGAUUGACUUGGGAUCUAGCAUCAAUUUAAUCCCCCUAUCCAUUAUUAAAAGAUUGGGAAAUAUCGAGAUUAAAUCUACAAGGAUGACUUUACAACUAGCCGAUAAGUCUACCACUUCACCAUAUGGAGUUGCUCAAGAUAUGCUAGUGAAGGUGGACAAAUUCUUGUUUCCGGUAGAUUUCGUGAUAGUGGAGAUGGAUGAGGAUCGUGAUGUUCUCUAAAUUCUUGGAAGACCAUUCAUGAAAACAGCCCGGAUGAUGAUUGACAUUGAUGAUGGACUGAUGAAAGUGAGAGUGCAAGAUGAAGAGGUGACCUUCAAUCUUUUUGAAGCCAUGAAGCAUCCUAAUGACAAUCAUGAUUCUUUCCGAAUCGAUGCAACCGAAGAGGAAAUAGUGGAGGUCGCAAACCAAGUUCAUGUUUCUAAUCCAUUAGAAAGAUCUCUUAUCGGAGCCUACAAUGUUUUGACCGAAAAUAAAGAAAAAGAGAUUGAAGCAAUGUUGCAUGAAUUAGAGUCUUGUGGAGAGCUUGUUUAUCAUGAAGAAACAAAUGAAGACUUGGAUGUGACAAAGAAAAUGGAAGAACCAAAACUAGAGUUGAAAAUGCUACCUUCACUCUUGAAGUAUGUGUUCCUUGGUGAUGAUUGUACUAAACCGGUGAUCAUUAGCAACACCUUGUCCACAAAAGAGGAACACAAAUUGAUACAAGUGCUGAAAAAGAAUGAGGGUGCAAUAGGGUGGGUCCGACUUGAAGGUAUUAGUCCGGCCUAUUGUAUGCAUAAGAUCAUGAUGGAAGAAAAUUUCAAACCCGUUGCACAACCUUAAAGGCGUCUAAAUCCAUCAAUGAAAGAAGUAGUUCGGAAAGAAGUUGUCAAACUCUUGGAAGCCGAAAUGAUUUAUCCUAUCUCCGUGAAUGGGUGAGUCCGGUGCAAGUAGUUCCAAAAAAAGGUGGCAUGACGGUUAUCAAAAAUGAUAAAAAUGAGUUGAUUCCAACAAGAACGGUAACCGGGUGGAGGAUGUGUAUUGACUAUAGAAGACUAAACCAAGCUACAAGAAAAGAUCACUUCCCACUACCUUUCAUGGACCAAAUGUUGGAAAGGUUGGCCGGCAAAAAUUUCUAUUGUUUCUUGGAUGGUUAUUCGGGGUACAACCAAAUUUCAGUCAAUCCGGCGGAUCAUGAGAAGACGGCUUUUACAUGUCCUUUCGGCAUCUUUGCUUACCGAAGAAUGCCUUUUGGGUUAUGUAAUGCACCAGCAACAUUUCAACGCUGUAUGCAAGUGAUAUUCUCGGAUUUAAUCGAAGAAUGCAUUAGGUGUUCAUGGAUGAUUUCUCCGUUUAUGGAUCGUCUUUUGAUUUGUGCUUGAAACAUCUUGAUGUGGUUUUGGGAAGAUGUGUGAAGACCAACUUAGUGCUUAAUUGGGAGAAAUGCAACUUUAUGGUCACCGAAGGUGUUGUACUCGGUCACAAGAUCUCCUCCGAAGGGCUAGAAGUUGACAAAGCAAAGGUGGAAGUCAUUGAUUUAUGUCUGAAUCCUUCAAAGUGCACUUCUUGUGUCAGAUCCAACAAGUUGUUGGGGUUCAUAGUCAUUCAAAUAGGAAUUGAAUUCGAUCUGGAUAAAGUGAAUUCCAUACAAGACAUGCCAACUCCAAGAACUAAAAAAGAGGUUUGUGGGUUCUUGGGAAGAUUGAACUACAUCGCUAGAUUCAUCUCGCAUCUUACAUCCACCUACGAACCAGUUUUCAAAUUAUUGAGGAAAAAACAAACCAUUGAUAGGAAUGAGGAUUGUCAAGGGUUAUUUGAUAAAAUUAAAGAGUACUUACAAGAGCAACAAAUCUUGAUAUCCCAUGUUCGAGAGAGACCUCUUAUUAUGUACUUAGAAAUUCUUAAUGGAUCGAUGGGCUGUGAAUUGGUGCAACAAGAUGAAACCGACAGAAAGGAGCAUGUAAUCUACUAUUUAAGCAAGAAGUUCACAUAUUUGUGAAUACAAAUACUCAUUACUUGAGAAGACUUAUUGCACACUAGCAUGGGCUGCUUGGCACUUAAGGCAAUACAUGUUGACCCACACAAUAUAUUUAAUAUCAAAUAUGUUACUUAGAAGAUAAUAAAAGGAAGUGUGUUGUCAAAAUAUCUUGCAAACCAACUAAUGGAAUAUUAUUAUCCCAUGAGGUUUGAGUUUCCUGAUGAAUGUAUUAUGGUUCUGAAUGAAGAAAAUGUCAUAGGUAAUGAUGUAGGGCCCAAACCAGGAGCUAGAUGGAAGCUCGCGUUUGAUGGUGGCUCGAAUGCCAUGGGGCAUGGAAUUGGAUAUGUCUUAAUCUCUCUAAGGAAUGACUAUACUCCCUUCACAAAAAGGUUAUCUUUUGACUGUACAAAUAGUAAGGCAUAAUACGAAGCAUGUAUCAUGGGCAUUGAACCUGCUAUAGACCUAAGGAUCAAAAUCCUAGAGGUGCAUGUAGACUAUGUGUUAGUCAUAUAUCAAGUAAAAGGAGAAUGGGAAACUCGUCAUCCUAAACUGAUAUCAUACCAAGCUCGAGUCUUUUAACUGAUGGAGAAUUUUAAGGAAAUCACUUUCCAUCACAUUCCAAGAGAAGAAAAUCAGAUGGCAGACGCUUUGGCUACAUUAUCAUCAAUGUACAAAGUAAACUUCCACAAUGAAGGCCCAAUUAUAAGAAUGGGUCAUAGAGAUGAACCGACAUGUUGCUCAACACUUGAAGAAGAGUUUGAUGACAAGCCAUGGUUUCAUGAAAACAAGUGUUACCUUCAGAAACAAGAGUACCUUACAAAUUCUUUGAGUGGGGACAAGAAAACUCUCAGAAGGUUAAUAGCUAAUUUCUUCCUAAAUGAUGAUGUGCUCUACAAAAGAAACCAUGACAUGGUCCUACUCAGAUGCAUGGAUAGACACGAAGCACACAUGUUCGUCAAGUAAAUUCAUGGCAGACUUCUGAUGAUUUUCUUUACAUGAUUUGUCGUGGUAUAACCUUUGUUCAGAACUUUAAUCCAACUCCAUAUUUCUAGAUUAAAGUUAGGGCUUUAGUCUCUUUAACUUGCUCAUUUCCUUCAUGAGUCAUUUUCAAAGAAUCAAAUAUAGACUUAGUAAAGUCUCUAAUUAUUAUGUUUUCAUACUUAGAUUAGGAAAUAGAAUUCAACAAUAUAGUUUUGGAUCUAUGAUGAUUAUUGUAAUCCUUCUUUUGUUUACAAUCUAUUUUGCUUCUUUUAAGCUUACUGCCAUCAGCAUCUAUAGGAUGUGUCUAACCUUCUAUCACCAUAUCCCAUAGUUCAACAUCACAACCUAUGAAGAAACUUUCGAUUCUAUCUUUCCAAUAGUUGAACUUUUCUCCAUCAAAGAAUGAAGGUUUUGUAGAAUAAUGAUAUUUAUCAUUAUUUGCUUAUGCCAUAAUGUAUUUAAAAAAGAAUGGAUCUAUGUCUGAAAUGAUUAAGUGUUUAACACAAAGUAUGGGGUUUGAAUUAGGUUUCUCUAUUUAAAAACUUUUUCCACCCAAUAUAUUAAAACAACAAAGAUAAUAAUAAAGGUAAGAACAUAAGUAUUUUACCAUGGUUCACUGUUAAUGAAGCUCCGUCUAGCCCACUCUCCUGAGUGAUUUCUUCUUCUCAACAAGGACUUAAUCCAAUAAUCAAACUGAUUACAACAAACUCAAAGACGCACAGUCUAAGACUUCUUGAGAAAUUCUGACUAUACCAUAGUCUUUUAAGGAAAACAACUCAAAGACUAACUGUCAAUGACUUCUUGAGAAUUCUGAUCUAACUUAGUCUCUCAAGGAAAUUAACUAAAGGUUAAGAUAAUGGGUUUUAUGUCACAUGUUUCUUCAACACAACAGAUACACAAGUUUAAAUCAAAUGUUACACUUAACACAAGUUUAAAUCAAAUGUAACACUUAUUUUUAUAUUUUCUCUUUCACGUAUUCUAUUUGAGUGUAAG